rnacentral:rRNA from 1 species
GACGAACGCUGGCGGCGUGCUUAACACAUGCAAGUCGAACGGAAAGGCCCUGCUUUUGUGGGGUGCUCGAGUGGCGAACGGGUGAGUAACACGUGAGUAACCUGCCCUUGACUUUGGGAUAACUUCAGGAAACUGGGGCUAAUACCGGAUAGGAGCUCCUGCUGCAUGGUGGGGGUUGGAAAGUUUCGGCGGUUGGGGAUGGACUCGCGGCUUAUCAGCUUGUUGGUGGGGUAGUGGCUUACCAAGGCUUUGACGGGUAGCCGGCCUGAGAGGGUGACCGGCCACAUUGGGACUGAGAUACGGCCCAGCCUCCUACGGGAGGCAGCAGUGGGGAAUAUUGCACAAUGGGCGGGAGCCUGAUGCAGCAACGCCGCGUGCGGGAUGACGGCCUUCGGGUUGUAAACCGCUUUCGCCUGUGACGAAGCGUGAGUGACGGUAAUGGGUAAAGAAGCACCGGCUAACUACGUG